rnacentral:rRNA from 1 species
GACGAACGCUGGCGGCGUGCUUAACACAUGCAAGUCGAACGGAAAGGCUCCAGCUUGCUGGAGUACUCGAGUGGCGAAGGGGUGAGUAACACGUGGGUAAUCUGCCCUGCACUCUGGGAUAAGCCUGGGAAACUGGGUCUAAUACUGGAUAUGACCUUUCUCCCUAUGGGGUUUGGUGGAAAGUUUUUCGGUGUAGGAUGAGCCCGCGGCCUAUCAGCUCGUUGGUGGGGUGAUGGCCUACCAAGGCGACGACGGGUAGCCGGCCGGAGAGGGUGAUCGGCCACCUUGCGCCUGCGAUACGGACCAGACUCCUACGGGAGGCAGCAGUGGGGAAUAUUGCACAAUGGGCGGAAGCCUGAUGCAGCGACGCCGCGUGAGGGAUGACGGCCUUCGAGUUGUAAACCUCUUUCAGCAGGGACGAAGCGUAAGUGACGGUACCUGCAGAAGAAGCACCGGCUAACUACGUG